AUGCGGAUUUCUAGAGUCAGGCAGGGAGGCAUCCGGCCUCUGGAAGGCUGGGCUUCAGGUAGUGAAGGCGGUGUGUCACUGCGGUGGUAUCUGGGGAGGCGUGCCGAGCCUCUCCGUGUGCGCGUCCCUCCAGAAAUCUCCACAUCCCCCUGCUUCUCUCUCCACCAGAGCCGCCUCUCCCUCUGCCGACUGCCUGCCUGCCUGCCUGCCUGCCUGCCUGCCUGUGCCAAGAAGCCUACCCGAAUCGAGGGAAGAGAGAACGAUGCCGGGAGCGCCUUAACUUCACGCCGGGCGCAAGGGCGGAAGGGGGCCGAUUGGUUGACAGCCGGCUGCCUUGCCUUAAGGAGCAGGGCGUCUGAUGUCAAGCCGCCUCUCCCUCUGCCGACUGCCUGCCUGCCUGCCUGCCUGCCUGCCUGCCUGCCUGCCUGCCUGUGCCAAGAAGCCUACCCGAAUCGAGGGAAGAGAGAACGAUGCCCGGGAGCGCCUUAACUUCACGCCGGGCGCAAGGGCGGAAGGGGGCCGAUUGGUUGACAGCCGGCUGCCUUGCCUUAAGAAGCAGGGCGUCUGAUGUCAGUGAGUGGGGCGGUUUCGUUGGGGGCGAGAGGCCUGGCCGACCUUGCGAGGGUCUUCCCCACGCCCCUGGUGCAUUUCAACGUGCGGCGAGGGUGAGGGGUGUGGAGAUCACGCUGGCGAGUGCCCCAGGCCCCUGCAGACCAGGCCGCUUUCUCCCCCUGGGGGUGCCAGAGAAGGGCAGAGCGUUGCUGUUACGGCAGGUGUCCGCCAGACGGCGCCAAAGCGCCGGCAGAGCUGCUCUGGCUCUGCCUGGCUGCAACUCCAGGCUCAGAAUGGGCCUGGAGCAGGAUGGAAGGAAACGCAAGGAGGGCCCAGACAGAGCCUUGUGUUGGUGUACCGGGUACCUGUGACGCUGUGGCCGUUUUGUGUCAACAUGCAGUCUGUGCCCCAGCAACUGGAGCGCUGGACGGGCCGUCGAGGGCCUGCGUGCCCUUUGCUCCUUGGGGGGCACGGCGCUGGGACCCAGGAGGACCCGGCUUGAGUCCUGGACAUGCGGAUUUCUAGAGUCAGGCAGGGGAGGCAUCCGGCCUCUGGAAGGCUGGGCUUCAGGUAGUGAAGGCGGUGUGUCACUGCGGUGGUAUCUGGGGAGGCGUGCCGAGCCUCUCCGUGUGCGCGUCCCCUCCAGAAAUCUCCACAUCCCCCUGCUUCUCUCUCCACCAGAGCCGCCUCUCCCUCUGCCGACUGCCUGCCUGCCUGCCUGCCUGCCUGCCUGCCUGCCUGCCUGUGCCAAGAAGCCUACCCGAAUCGAGGGAAGAGAGAACGAUGCCCGGGAGCGCCUUAACUUCACGCCGGGCGCAAGGGCGGAAGGGGCCGAUUGGUUGACAGCCGGCUGCCUUGCCUUAAGAA
rnacentral:lncRNA from 1 species